rnacentral:lncRNA from 1 species
AAGAAAUAGAGCUUCCACAUCUGAUAUGUGGAAUGACUUCGACAAGAUUCGUAUAUGAACUUCAAUAGCAUUACAAAAUUUGCUGACGUUCUGUACAUAUAUAAUUAACGAGAAGAAACAAUAGUCAAAGAUUUAUUAGGAACCAUUUAUUCAGAUCAACCAUUUAUUCAGAUCACGCAAGCAGCGUAUAUAGCUAGCUACCAAUACGUACGAGUCUCACAGCAGGCUUGGAACCGAAGCAUCUCCCCCGCAGCACUUCACAAAGCAACAGCACUGGCCGCUUUUCCCAGGGGGGUUGGAGCAUUUCACGACAGGGUCGACGUACCCGGUCGCCUUGCAAACCAUGGUGCACGUCUCUUUGUCGCAUUUCCCUCCAUGCAAGUCGAAACAGUUUACUGCACUACGACAAAACUAAGGAAGACGUUAUAUACAGACAUCCUUUGCAAAGUUGAUAUUGAAUAUAAAUUAAGGAAUUAAUAAUGUAUGCACGACCUUUUAGCCCUUGCACGGCAAGGUAGUAGGGUGAGAAGACCAUGGCCAUGGCCACGGCCAUGACGGUCGCCAAGAACAGAGCUCUACUACUGCCCAUGUAUGAUUCCUAGCUAUGAGCACCACAAGCUAAUUAAGUGCCUCCAAUGGUUGGUUGCUCACUUGCUCCUAUGUUUGGACGUGGUGUGUUCGGGUGCUAGGUUUCUGU